rnacentral:misc_RNA from 1 species
UCUCCGUAGGUGAACCUGCGGAGGGAUCAUUCACAUGAUUAUAUACUUUAUAAAAACAAUUCUGUGAACUUUAUUAAAACAACCCCUUCUGUUUUGUUGUUUUUUGAUUGAUUUACUUCUAUCAUCUAACUAAAAAAAACAUAGAACAUUCGAUUGAACAUUAGAUAGCUGGUUUUUUUAAAUAUUAUUAUUAAAAACUACAGCUGAUUUAUUAACUCAUCAAACAGUUAACAAAAUCAUCCAUUAAUAGAAUUGGAAAACAACUCUAUGCCCUGGAUAUCUUGGUUCUC